rnacentral:rRNA from 1 species
GAUGAACGCUCGCGGCAGGCCUAACACAUGCAAGUCGAGGGGGAAGUUACUUUCGGGUGACUGAGACCGGCGUACGGGUGCGUAACGCGUAUACAAUCUGCCUUUCACUGGGGGAUAGCCCGAAGAAAUUUGGAUUAAUACCCCAUAGUAUAUAGGGACGGCAUCGUUUUUAUAUUAAAGCUUAGGUGGUGAAAGAUGAGUAUGCGUUCUAUUAGCUAGUUGGAGAGGUAACGGCUCCCCAAGGCGAUGAUAGAUAGGGGUUCUGAGAGGGAUGUCCCCCACACUGGUACUGAGAUACGGACCAGACUCCUACGGGAGGCAGCAGUGAGGAAUAUUGGACAAUGGUCGGAAGACUGAUCCAGCCAGGCCGCGUGCAGGAUGAAGGUCUUAUGGAUUGUAAACUGCUUUUGUAAGGGAAGAAUAAGGGCUACGCGUAGUUUGAUGACGGUACCUUACGAAUAAGCAUCGGCUAACUCCGG